rnacentral:rRNA from 1 species
AGAGUUUGAUCCUGGCUCAGAAUCAACGCUGGCGGCGUGCCUAACACAUGCAAGUCGAACGCGAAAGUCCCGCAAGGGAUAAGUAGAGUGGCAAACGGGUGAGUAACACGUGGGUGACCUGCCUUCGAGCGGGGGAUAACGUCCCGAAAGGGACGCUAAUACCGCAUAACAUCCUGCCUUUGAAGAGGCGGAGAUCAAAGCUGGGGAUCGCAAGACCUAGCGCUCGAUGAGGGGCCCGCGUCUGAUUAGCUAGUUGGUGGGGUAACGGCUCACCAAGGCAACGAUCAGUAUCCGGCCUGAGAGGGCGGACGGACACACUGGGACUGAGACACGGCCCAGACUCCUACGGGAGGCAGCAGUGGGGAAUUGUUCGCAAUGGGCGCAAGCCUGACGACGCAACGCCGCGUGGAGGAUGAAGAUCUUCGGGUCGUAAACUCCUUUCGAUCGAGACGAACAGCCUUCGGGUAAACAAUCCGGAGGUCUGACGGUACCGAGAGAAGAAGCCCCGGCUAACUCCGUGCCAGCCGCCGCGGUAAUAC